GGCAACCCUGCUGGCUGGCAACUCUGGCGCAAGAUGAACGUUGCUAAUAAUAGCAGGCAGAAGAGAACUUCAGUUAAUGUCGGCGGGUGUUUGACUCUUAAAGAGGAUUUGACCUGCUUCGUUCUGUGGAUUAUCAAACGUCGUUGCUGACUCCACAACUGUUUUGGAUAAAUAAUGGAACAGCGAACGAUACCAAUGUCGACGCCCCUCCAGCACCUCGGCCAGUUUCUUCAGAACCACAUUGUGACCUCACCUGUAGCGACUCAGAGAGAGCGCAACCUUGCAGCUUGUCAGGAUGUGCUGGAGGCUUACGUUGGGGGCAUUGCAGAGCGAGCAGCAAUCCUCGUUUCAAAAGAACUGGUGAAGCUUGCGAGGACAGGGAAGGGUGUCGUAGGUAGUUCGUAUACAGAAGCUGACCCUUGCCUGUGGAAACCUCCAUAGGUCACACCAACUGAUAAUAUGGCUGACAACUCCCUCCCUGUUGAUAAAGCGCAACAGAAGUGCACUCCAUAUACCAUUACCCAUUGGAUCGAACUGCACUUUUCAUUUUUUUUCCCCCCUCGGAUAAUGUGAAAAAUAAUCUUGGAUCAAUUCAAAUGUAAUUCAUCUCGCCAGCAGGAAUAGCCAAUUUGGAUUUAGGGUGGUAAUCUGAGCUCUAUUAUAAAAUUUUAUGCUGAUAUGAAAAAAAUUAUACACGUUUGUAAAUAAAAUAGACCAGAAAAAGACAUGUAUUGUACAUCUUCAACUCACAUACACAAUCUGUUUGGUUAAUAUCCUAUUGAAUGCUUUCUAAAUUGUUUAAUCAGUGAAUACAAUAAUUAAUUCUGAAGAUAGUUGAUAUUUUCAGCCCUGCUUACGACUCGUAAGCACGGCUAAGUGUGUGUACGAGUGCGACAAUUAAUGUGUUUUCUCAUCCACUGCACUUUUGAUUUAUUUUGCUUAAGUCAUAUAGUCCAAAAUUUGAGCUAGAGGGGAUCUUAAAUUACUAUGCAUUAGAUGGCAGUAGAGGACGCCUAGUAUACUUGGAGUAUCCCGUGCUUCACUCACAAGUUAAGUACGCGUUCAACUAUGCAACAUAUUCAACUUGUACGUAAGUCACGUUACCACAUUACUUUUGAUAAUGCAUAAUAAAAUGAAUAUGAAAAAUGUCAUUUUUCUUGUGUGAAAAUUCUUAGAGACAUUAAUUUUUUUUCAAAACUUUAUGACACAUAGGGCACCCACAUAGAUAUUUUGACAACACUGCACAUCCGCUGAUUACAUUGUAUUGUCAGGACUAUUCAGUUCCUCAGAAAAAGUGCGCAAUUGCAAUCUCCAAAAUAUUUGAGGUCAAAGGGGGUGAGUCAUUCAAUGUUUUGGGGGCGUGUGAAGAUUUGCGAAAUAUUAAUUAGACACAUUUUGCAUAGAAUCUUAUCUCAGCUGGGUAUUAUCAGUGUCACCUUUGUUCACAGCACUCAGUGACACUAAAUACUGAUUAAGCAUGUGAGAUGACUGCGAUUAAAAUGGAAUAAUAACUAAACGGCAACCACUGCCAAGAUAUUUAAUCAUCCUAGAUGCUUACAAACUCACACUGAACCCCUAAAACCCCUCAUCUAUACUGGAAUUGUUUUUAAUACAAAAUGCAUUUACAUAUUUUGUCACAAUAUGCAUUCGGUAGAGGUGUUUCUUUUAAUGAGUUUUUAUGAGGAUGGCUAUACAGCUGAGUUUCCGAACGCUGUGUGAUAAGUCUGAUGUGAAGUCAGCCAGAUGGGAGUCAACACGACAUCUUUCCCCUCCUUUUAAUCUGGUUGAAAAGCCCCAGAGAAAAAGGUGGAGGAUGAAGAGAGAGGGGGAGAGAAAAUGAGAGUGAAGGGGAAGAACAAGGAAAUGACAAUAAAAACAGUUCGAGACCAACUCGGACUCUGUCACCAAGAUGUUUGAUGCUGCAAGUCAAGUGCCUCGAGAGAAAGUGAAGAAAGAAGAUGAAGAAAAGAAAGCAAAACGGUAGUGGCGGGUGAGAAGCAGGACCAACAUGAUAAAGGGAACUACUGUAUAUGAACCUUCUAAUGCAUGUCCAGUUCUUGAAUACUGCAGACACUCUGAGGACACAUCUGAUCAAUGUGUUUGUGCUGUAAGCACAGUCAUAAGGUCAGAGCUGUUUAGAUGUAGUGUCAUCCAAAAUAAGUGGAAGUCU